rnacentral:rRNA from 1 species
UACGGAGGGGGCUAGCGUUGUUCGGAAUACUGGGCGAAAGCGCACGUAGGCGGAUCAGUCAGUUAGAGGUGAAAUCCCAGGGCUCAACCCUGGAACUGCCUUUAAUACUGCUGGUCUGGAGGUCGAGAGAGGCGAGUGGAAUUCCGAGUGUAGAGGUGAAAUUCGUAGAUAUUCGGAGGAACACCAGUGGCGAAGGCGGCUCGCCUGGCUCGAUACUGACGCUCAGGCACGAAAGCGUGGGGAGCAAACAGG